rnacentral:rRNA from 1 species
UACGUACCGUCCAAACGUUAUUCGGAAUCACUGGGCUUAAAGAGUUCGUAGGCGGCUCAGAAAGUUGGGUGUGAAAUCCCUCGGCUCAACCGAGGAAUUGCGCUCAAAACUACUGAGCUAGAGGGAGAUAGAGGUGAGCGGAACUGAUGGUGGAGCGGUGAAAUGCGUUGAUAUCAUCAGGAACACCGGAGGCGAAGGCGGCUCACUGGGUCUUUCCUGACGCUGAGGAGCGAAAGCUAGGGGAGCGAACGGG